rnacentral:lncRNA from 1 species
GACGGGGCCGAGCCGCGGGCGCAAGCCGCGGGCACGGCCCUAUUGCCCGCUCUCGGCCUGCAGGGCCCGGCCGACUCUCCGCGGGCACGGCCCAUCCGCACCUGUGCUGGUGAACCUGCAGCUUGGGUGGGCGCGGGUGUGAGGUGCCGUCACCGCGAGCCCAAACCAGAAGCUGGCAGGCAGUGUUUACAAGGCAGAGUGAAGAACGUCUCUUCUCACUCGAGGCAGCUUGGGGUUAGCUGUCUCAGGGGCUCAGCAGGACGCAACAGCAUUAGUGCAGUACCUGUGUGUCAUCUUGAGCGCUUCUGCACAAAUGAUUCGCUUAGUGACAGAGAAAAGGAGAAAGCAAAUGGGGCUGUGGCCAUCAAACUCUUGAGUCUACAGCCUCAUCUGCAAAGGAAGUCAUCAGAGCAAGACAAUUUUAAUUUUUCCUCCACCUAUGAGCUGCAUCAGGGAAGAAAAGCGAACACAAACAAUGCAGUGAGAGGGAAAGGCAAGCACAGGGAGUUCUACACACUGCUACGUAUCAGUGUUUGUGAUAUUUGCUGCUUGCAUUUUUUAUCUGGAUGGGGUUGAUAGUCGAUGUCUCUUCAAAAGACUGCAGCAAACACCAAGUACCCACGAAGCUUGACCCCAUUUUGUGAGCAGGCUGUAGCACAAAAGACCUGCAGCUGGGUGGCAAGGUGUGUGCGGGGCACCUCAUUACAUAAGCAGACUACCCCUGCACUCUCAGUAGGCCACAGGUUUAGCCUGUGGUUUAAGCAGUACCACAGUGCAAGCCUGCCUGUGAUAAUCAGUUCUGCGCUGGCUAGGUCUUGACACUUAAAUUAUAGCACGAAGCUCCUCCCAGUGGGUGGUGGCAACCGUGAGCUUCUUGUUGCUUUAUCUAAUUCUCAGAAAAAUUUCUGUAGCUGUAAAAAAGACCAGAAACUCCAGACCAAGGACUUGCUUGUUAAAGAUUGUUACUGCUCCAUGUAAUGCUGGACUCUGCCCCUUGUGUGUGCUAGUGAAGCUGUGUUUCUCAGCUCCCACUAUAAGGACUUCUCUGGCAUUCUUGUAUGAGAGCUACACUGUAAACUGUUCUGAGAAGCAACAAGCAAAUCAGUAACUUUCACAGUUUCUGAGUUAUCANACUGUAGGCAUAUCUGAAAGUAAUUUUA